GACGAACUGUCCAAACGUUGUUCGGAAUCACUGGGCUUAAAGGGCGCGUAGGCGGUCCAUCAAGUCAGGGGUGAAAUCCUGCAGCUUAACUGUAGAAGUGCCUCUGAUACUGAUGGUCUUGAGGGAGGUAGGGGUGUGCGGAACUUCCAGUGGAGCGGUGAAAUGCGUUGAUAUUGGAAGGAACGCCGGUGGCGAAAGCGGCGCACUGGACCUCUUCUGACGCUGAGGCGCGAAAGCCAGGGGAGCAAACGGG
rnacentral:rRNA from 1 species